CCUACGGGAGGCAGCAGUGAGGAAUAUUGCACAAUGGGCGAAAGCCUGAUGCAGCAACGCCGCGUGAGCGAAGAAGGCCUUCGGGUCGUAAAGCUCUUUUCGGGGAGAUGAGGAAGGACAGUAUCCCCGGAAUAAGACUCGGCUAACUACGUGCCAGCAGCCGCGGUAACACGUAGGAGUCAAGCGUUAUCCGAAUUCACUGGGCGUAAAGCGCGUGUAGGCGGCGCAAAAAGUUGGAUGUAAAAGCUCCUGGCUCAACUGGGAGAGGACGUUCAAUACUUUUGUGCUAGAGGACGGCAGAGGGAGGUGGAAUUCCCGGUGUAGUGGUGAAAUGCGUAGAUAUCAUGAAGAACACCAGUUGCGAAGGCGGUUUCCUGGUCCGCUACUGACACUGAGGCGCGAAAGCGUGGGGAGCAAACAGGAUUAGAUACCCUGGUAGUCCACGCCCUAAACGAUGGGUACUAGGUGCUGGGCCGCAAGGUUCAGUGCCAAAGCUAACGCAUUAAGUACCCCACCUGGGGAGUACGAUCGCAAGGUUGAAACUCAAAGGAAUUGACGG
rnacentral:rRNA from 1 species